UGGGGAAUCUUGGACAAUGGGCGAAAGCCUGAUCCAGCGACGCCGCGUGGGUGAUGAAGGCCUUCGGGUCGUAAAGCCCUGUGGGCAGGAAAGAAAACGGUCACGGCGAACAGGCGUGGCCCUUGACGGUACCUGCUCAGAAAGCACCGGCUAACUCUGUGCCAGCAGCCGCGGUAAGACAGAGGGUGCAAACGUUGCUCGGAAUUACUGGGCGUAAAGCGCGUGUAGGCUGACUCGUGUGUCGGGCGUGAAAUCCCUGGGCUCAACCCAGGAACUGCACUCGAAACUGCGAGUCUAGAGUGGUGGAGAGGGUAGUGGAAUUCCUGGUGUAGAGGUGAAAUUCGUAGAUAUCAGGAGGAACACCGGUGGCGAAGGCGGCUACCUGGACACCAACUGACGCUGAGACGCGAAAGCGUGGGGAGCAAACAG
rnacentral:rRNA from 1 species